rnacentral:rRNA from 1 species
GAUGAACGCUGGCGGCGUGCUCCACACAUCCCUGUCGAACGGAAAGGCUCCUGCUUGCAGGGGUACUCCAGUGGCGAACGGGUGCGUAACACGUCGGUGAUCUGCCCUGCACUUCGGUAUAAGCCUGGGAACCUGGGCCUAAUACCGGAUAGGCCGACGGUUUGGAUGCAAUUGUGGAAAGCUUUUCGGUGUGGGAUGAGCUCGCGGCCUAUCAGCUUGUUGGUGGGGUAAUGGCCUACCAGGGCGUCGACGGGUAGCCGGCCUGCGAGGGUGUACGGCCAAAUUGGGACUGAGAUGCGGCCCAGACUCCUACGGGAGGCAGCAGUGGGGAAUAUUGCACAAUGGGCGGAAGCCUGAUGCAGCGACGCCGCGUGGGGGAUGACGGCCUUCGGGUUGUAAACUCCUUUCGCUAGGGACGAAGCGCAAGUGACGGUACCUGGAGAAGAAGCACCGGCUAGCUACGUG